GACGAACGCUGGCGGCGUGCCUAAUACAUGCAAGUAGAACGCUGAAGGAGGAGCUUGCUUCUCUGGAUGAGUUGCGAACGGGUGAGUAACGCGUAGGUAACCUGCCUGGUAGCGGGGGAUAACUAUUGGAAACGAUAGCUAAUACCGCAUAAUAGUAGAUGUUGCAUGACAUUUGCUUAAAAGGUGCAAUUGCAUCACUACCAGAUGGACCUGCGUUGUAUUAGCUAGUUGGUGGGGUAACGGCUCACCAAGGCGACGAUACAUAGCCGACCUGAGAGGGUGAUCGGCCACACUGGGACUGAGACACGGCCCAGACUCCUACGGGAGGCAGCAGUAGGGAAUCUUCGGCAAUGGACGGAAGUCUGACCGAGCAACGCCGCGGGAGUGAAGAAGGGUUUCGGAUCGUAAAGCUCUGUUGUAAGAGAAGAACGAGUGUGAGAGUGGAAAGUUCACACUGUGACGGUAUCCUACCAGAAAGGGACGGCUAACUACGUG
rnacentral:rRNA from 1 species